UGUUAGGUUUGGUCCUGACCUUAGUGUUAAUUGCAACUAAAAUUAUACAUGCAAGUUUCAGCCCCCCUGUGAGAAUGCCCUAAGUAUUCUAUUAAAUAAUUAGGGGCGGGCAUCAGGCACACAUUUUACAUGUGGCCCAAGACGCCUUGCUCAGCCACACCCCUAAGGGUUUUCAGCAGUAAUAAACAUUGAUUACAUAAGCGUAAGCUUGAAUCAGUUAAAGUCGACAGAGUUGGUAAAUCUCGUGCCAGCCACCGCGGUUAUACGAGUGACUCACAUUAACACUUCCCGGCGUAAAGUGUGAUUUAAGGAUGACCUCCAAAUAACUAUAGUUAUGACCUCAUCAAGCUGUUAUACGCAUUCGUGAACGGAAUAAUCAACAACGAAAGUGACUCUAAAUUACCAGGAAUCUUGAUGUCACGACAGUUGGGCCCCAAACUAGGAUUAGAUACCCUACUAUG
rnacentral:rRNA from 1 species